UACGGAGGAGGCAAGCGUUAUCCGGAUUGAUUGGGCGUAAAGGGUCCGUAGGUGGUUUAGAAAGUCCGCUGUUAAAGCCAGUAGCUCAACUACUGAUCAGCAGUGGAAACUACUAGACUUGAGAGCAGUAGGGGUCACGGGAAUUUCCAGAGUAGCGGUGAAAUGCGUAGAGACUGGAAAGAACACCAACAGCGAAGGCACGUGACUGGGCUGUAUCUGACACUGAGGGACGAAAGCCAGGGGAGCGAAAGGG
rnacentral:rRNA from 1 species